CACGGGGUUGCGAACGUUGUCCGGAAUUACUAGGCGUAAAGGGCAGGCAGGCGGAUCCAUAAGUUUAUCGUUUAAGGCGUCGGCUUAACCGGCGUAGGGCGGUAGAUACUGUGGAUCUGGAAUGCGGUUGGGGAAGACAGAAUUCCUGGUGUAGCGGUGGAAUGCGCAGAGAUCAGGAGGAAUACCGAAGGCGAAGGCAGUCUUCCAAGCCGUUAUUGACGCUCAACUGCGAAGGUGUGGGUAUCAAACAGGAUUAGAUACCUGCGUAGUCCCUGA
rnacentral:rRNA from 1 species